rnacentral:rRNA from 1 species
AUUGAACGCUGGCGGCAUGCUUUACACAUGCAAGUCGGACGAGUGGCGAACGGGUGAGUAACGCAUCGGAACGUAGCGAGUAAAGGGGGAUAACUGUCGGAAACGACAGCUAAUACCGCGUAUCAUUCGAAGGGCCGAAGUCUGAUUAGCUGGUUGGAGGGGUAAAGGCCCACCAAGGCGACGAUCAGUAGCGGGUCUGAGAGGAUGAUCCGCCACACUGGGACUGAGACACGGCCCAGACUCCUACGGGAGGCAGCAGUGGGGAAUUUUGGACAAUGGGCGCAAGCCUGAUGCAGCCAUGCCGCGUGUCUGAAGAAGGCCUUCGGGUUGUAAAGGACUUUUGUCAGGGAAGCGUUACCUGAAGAAUAAGCACCGGCUAACUACGUGCCAGCAGCCGCGGUAAUUC